rnacentral:lncRNA from 10 species
UUCACUUGUGACAAUUUCCUGAGACCCUUUUGUGCUGUGGCACCCUGCUGAGAGCAGCUGUGGUGUUGCCAAGCGUCACAGGCUCCUCUCUAAUUCUAACGCUCUUUCAAUGCUUGUUUUCAGCCCAGUGUUCCUGCUGUUUCAUGGUGAUUGGCAGAAGCUGCACUUCUGAGAGAUGGGAGGAGGGAUUCUUCUUCCUCUCUCAUCCCAUCACCUGCUCCAGAAGGCAGCUGGAGCAAGAUGCGUAUGGUGACAAGACUGUUAGGAGGAAGGAGAAAUUCUAGAAAACAAUGUGACAUCUUCAAAGAGAUUAACGGAAGUGGCUGCUGAGAUUAUGAGGACCUAGAAGUCUCACAAUCUGCUGUCUGCAAGCUGCAGAGCCAGGAAUGCUGGUGGUGUGGCUCAGUCCCAAGUCCCAAGUUCAAAUCUGAAGACCUAAGAACCAGAAGCUCCCAACGUGAGGGCAGGAGAAGAUGGAUGUCCUGGCUACAACACAGAAAGAAAAUUCACCCUUCCGCUACAUUUUUUGUACUGUUUGGGCUCUGAAAGUGAAACUGCCUUUGCAAAAUUAUGACUGAGACAGUGAAAAAGAUCCAACUUAACCAAUUUCAUCUUGCCUCUAACCUCCAAGCUGUCCUUGUUCAUUCUUGUCAUAGGCUGAACUAACUUUGGGAGAAACUUAGUUCAUAGUUUACAGUUUAAAACAAAGACAAUAACAGCCCUUUCCCAAAACAAACCUCCUUCUUGCCUGGGAACUAGGCUACUAACAUUAGCCACAAGAUUAGUAAUUACGGUUUAGGAGUCAUGCAGCUGGAGGCUACGAGAUUCUGAACCUCUUUAAACUGCUUCUAAAAUCCGUGCUUGAGAUGUUUUGUAGACCCUGCACUUGAUGAAGCAGCUGGCACCACACAGAUGGAUAAACUGGCCCAUCUGAUCUUGUGACCCCCACCCAGGAGCUAACUCAGCCCAAGAAGACAGUGAUGCUCCAUGAUUUCAUCUCCAACCCAACCAAUCAGCACUCCCCAACUCACUGCCCCUCCCCACCCACCAAAUUAUCUUCAAAAACUCUGAUCUCCAAAUGUUCGGGGAGACUGAUUUGAGUAAUAAUAAAACUCCAGCUUCCACACAGCUGGCUCUGUGUGAACUACUCUUUCUCCAUUGCAUUUCCCCUGUCUUGAUAAAUCGGUUCUGUCUAAGCAGCGAACAAGGUGAACCCGCUGGGAGGUUACAAAAGAACUGGAUUAUGCCCACAUUGGCGAGGGUGGGUCUUCUUUACCUCCAUUCACCAAUUCAAAAAUCAAUCCCAUCAAGUCAAAUGAAAUGCAAAUCUCUUCCAAAAACACACCUGGGAAUGGACUUUUACCAGCUAUCUGGGCAUCCCUUUGCCCAGUCAAGUUGACAUAAAAUUAACUAUCAAAAAAGUCUUUCUGAAAAGUGGAUUAGCCGGGCACAGUGGCUCACACCUGUAAUCCCAGCACUUUGGGAGGCCGACGUGGGCAGAUCGCAAGGUCAGGAGAUCGAGACCAACCUGACUGACACGGGGAAACCCUGUUUCUACUAAAAAUACAAAAAAUUAGCUAGGUGUGUUGUUGGGUGCCUAUAGUCCCAGCUACUCGGGAGGCUGAGGCAGGAGAAUGACCUGAACCGGGGAGGUGGAGCUUGCAGUGAGCCGAGGUCGUGCCACUGCAGUCCAGCCUGGGGCACCUGGGGCAACAGAGUGAGACUCCAUCUCAAAAAAAAAAAAAAAAGAAAGAAAAGUGGAUUAAAGAUCUUAAUUUUACCAAUCAAGUAAAAAUAUACAUUGCAAUAUAAAAUAUUAUUUUGUGAAUCUUUUUCUGAAGAUUUAAAAAUUAUCCAAUAAAUAUGUUUAAUCUAGAUUUUAUUAUAACAAAAACCACUAUGUCUGCUGAUUGGUCAAAUUCAAGACCUGUACAAUAAGGAUCACUAAAAUAUGAGCUGGCGGAGGACAGGGUUUUGGCUGCAUUCUUACAGCUGUAUCUGUGGCACCACGGACAGGUUUGAUUUCAGUGGGUGACUUGGCACUUAGUAAACACAUUCGCUGACUGAGUUGAAUACUUAAUUAUGUGUCAGCCUCUGGAUUUAACACACACUCUCUUGCCCAAAUUUCACAACUGCCCUAUGUAAUAGACAUUACUCUGCAUUCCUAAUACUGAGAAAACAGAGGUAUUAAGGGCUUGAGUAACUUGCUGCAAUUCUCCAGUUAGUGAGUGAUAAAGUCAGAAUGCGAAUCUUUACCUAAAUGCCUCCCUUGAUGACCAACCUGUGAAACAGCUACUGAUAUCUCAUGUGUACUGAAGAUGAGGUUUCCUGGCUCAGCUGAUAAGUCAAGUGUUUUUGGUAGGGACCUACACAAUGGGAUGAUUCAGCUUUUAUGGACUCUGCUCCUUUAGUCUAUUCUGAAGGGUUAUAUAAUGGAUUUUUCUCUUUUACUAAUGUGUAUCAUUUUAUUAGUGUUUGAAGUCUUGUAAAAAGUAAUAUCUGAAGGAUGUAAGACAGCAAGUGAGAAAGAAACAGCUCAGAAGAGACUGAGUAAUGCUGAGUAAUGUUACCUGAACUUCCUGCUCUGCUGGGGUUCCUCUCAUACCAUAUGAGUGGGUAAAGGGUGAAACGAAAAUCUUAUCUCAACAUCCUUCCCCUGUGGAUGACAAACUUUGAUAUUUAUUUUAUCAUCGAUAUCAGUGAGUCCAUAUUUAUAAAGCGAGGAGCUCUUACAGGAAAGCAUUUGUCAAAUACCUAAUUACAAAAUAUAUUGACCUUCAUAUUCUAAGUCAAGUGAUAUAUUUUGUAUCAUUUUCUGCAGAAUUAUGAUAAAGCACAGUGUGUAUAAAGUCAAGUUACCCAUUAUUCUAGCACUGUUUAGUGUUUAUAUGACACAUGCCAAACAUGAGAAUAACCCCCGUUUGAAAAUGUAUUUUUUUGGUUACUUACAGCUACCUUAUUUUUUUCUUCUUCUUUUUUUUUUUUUUUCUUUGAGAUGGAGUCUUGCUCUGUCACCCAGGUUGGAGUGCAGUGGCACGAUCUAGGCUCACUGCAAGCUCUGCCUCCCGGGUUCACUCCAUUCUCCUGCCUCAGCCUCCCGAGGAGCUGGGACUACAGGCAUCCGCCGCCACGCCCGGC